UGGAGAGUUUGAUCCUGGCUCAGGACGAACGCUGGCGGCGUGCCUAAUACAUGCAAGUCGAGCGGAACCWUUGGAGCUUGCUCCAUUGGUUUAGCGGCGGACGGGUGAGUAACACGUGGGCAACCUGCCCUGCAGAUCGGGAUAACUCCGGGAAACCGGUGCUAAUACCGAAUAGUUUGCGGCCUCUCCUGAGGCUGCACGGAAAGACGGUUUCGGCUGUCACUGCAGGAUGGGCCCGCGGCGCAUUAGCUAGUUGGUGGGGUAAUGGCCCACCAAGGCSACGAUGCGUAGCCGACCUGAGAGGGUGAUCGGCCACACUGGGACUGAGACACGGCCCAGACUCCUACGGGAGGCAGCAGUAGGGAAUCUUCCGCAAUGGACGCAAGUCUGACGGAGCAACGCCGCGUGAGUGACGAAGGUUUUCGGAUCGUAAAACUCUGUUGUGAGGGAAGAACACGUACCAAGUAACUACUGGUACCUUGACGGUACCUCACCAGAAAGCCACGGCUAACUACGUGCCAGCAGCCGCGG
rnacentral:rRNA from 1 species